CCUGUAUAUGAGUUUGUAUGCAUUUCAUUUAGGACAGAUAAUCUCAACUGUUUUAGGGCAAGUUGACCAUGACGGUCAACAUGGCAACGCUGCCCGAACCCCAAUCCGGGACGAAACGUCCGAAACUGACCACACCCAAAAACGACGCUUUCGCCAUACUGCUAUCUACCAAACCAUAAAAGCUUUGGCUAUUCUGAGGUGCUUAUAUGGUUCAGAGAUGGUACUUUUGGG